CGAGCACUCCCGCGGAGUGUCUGCCGGUGAAAUAUUUAUACGGUGGAUUCACAAUAAUCUAACAAUAUUAUUACCUAGCUGUCUUAAAUAAUAAAAAAUUGAUGUUGAUUUGACACGAUCAGCUGAAAAAUACAAAUUAUAUUAACCAAUAUACUUAUUGUAUAACUUCGGCCCGCACAUUUUCGGUACCUAUAUAUAACGAUCGUCUUUGAGUGGUUAAACCGUAGUCGACGAACGCGAGCGAAACGAAAACACGAUGUGAGUAUGUUAUAGAAUAUUUUGUUGUAUUUUUUUUUUUUUUAUGUAGAAUUUGACCUAUUUACAUGGAGGGUAUCAAUUUAAUUUUUCGUCAAAUUUCGGAAAAAGAUACACGGUUUUAUCGAUAAUCGUUUUCGUUAACCGAUGGUAUAAAGUGAUAAUCGCCCAAAUUAAUAAAUAUUAUACUUGAGAGCUAUCUCCCGCAUUAGAGGGGUCGCGUAUAGGCAAUUUUCUUGAAAAGUUUGAUAAAAUAACAUUUUUUUCAAAAAUUUUGAAAAAUUGACUUUGAAAAUACAUUUACACGUCGGUAGUCAUCAAGGUGUAUAGUUUAUGUAUAGAUCAAUAAUAGUCUAUAGUCUGUAAAGAUUGAUUGUAAGACUGUGCGAUCUAUAAACCUUGGGUAGUCAUAAUUUAUUAUCAUAAACAUUUAUUGGGUUCACGUGAAAUUACGCAAAAAUGUUGACGGGAAAAUGUUGCUUUACGCGGCGAAAAAACUACUCGGGACAAUACACUUUAAUCAUUAAGAAAUUAAAUUUUCACCGUAGAAAAUUUAUUUGUUUAUUCAUAUAUCUUAUACUUUAAUUAUUGCUCAUAUUAUUUAUAGGUUAUUUUUUAAAUAGGUACUUCGAUUGUUUUGUACUUUGUGUUGAUAACUUACGCCGAUACCAUAUGCUAACAAUGCCGUAGAAAAAGAACUUGCAUUGUGUAUCGUUGAUUUUAUUUUUGCAAUAAUUUAAGUUACUAUUGUGUUUGAAAAACUUUACAUUUUUCGAACUCGAGUAACUUGUUUCGUAAUUGAGAUAUCGAAAAACUAAAACAAACCAAUAUUGUGCAAUGCGAUUUCUCGUUGUUUCUUUGGUUCAAUUCCGGUAUCCUAACUAAACCCAUAGCCCGAGUAAUUUUUUCACAAACGUUUUUAUUAUCAAUUUCACGGUUACAUAAUAACAAAUUCUUGCGAUAAAGACACGGGACUACUUGUAAAUGUAUUUGAAUUUUAUUUUUCGAAAAACACUUUUCCGGUUAGUAAAAAUGCUCACACAUUUAUGCAUUUCACAUCACUCAAUAGAUGCGGAUAUUUGAUCAGAUGGAAUACAUUGAUUGAACAACUUUUUGAAAUGUCCAAUACCCACUUUUUCUAAACAAAAUUAAAAACUGAAAACAAAAUUUGACGUUCGAUACAUCAGUUUUAUUUUUAUUGAUUUCUGGGUUACCUUUGCCUAGUUUAUUGGGAACUGUUUUUUUGAUUGCGAUAAUGUGUCGUUAAAACAACGAUACAUACCUAUAUUCUAUUACAUCAUUCCAACGCAAACAAAUAGUGGCCUAAUAUCCACGGUGCGAAUUAUGUGUUUGCCUUUAAAUUAGAAACUUAACAAAAAAUGACGCAUUUUGUAUAUUUUUUUUUUUUUUUUUUUUUACGCCAUUAAUUUUCAGGAACCGUUUCGACUGCGUUUUUCAAAAUUUACUGGUGGCUUACGUCUGUUCAGGGUGCCUAAUCGUCUUGAUCGACGGUUACCCAUUACGCGAUUUAAACGUCAUCCCGGACGUCAAUUACAAUAUUGGUUUUGAAGAAUCGCUGGUGGCGUUCGACAACAAGCCUUUAUUGGUAAAAUAGAAAACAUUUUUUUAUUGUAUUAUAUUAGAGUAUCCACUAGGGGCAAAACUAUUUAGAUAUUGAGCUGUACCACCAAUCAACUUUUGCACAUUUCCAUUUGUCCAUUCGAGAAAAACCGAAGAAGUUGGUAUACUAUAUAGUAAACCCCUCGGUGUUACACCGAGUUCACGAAAUAGAUAGUUUUUUUUGCCGAUUUCACGGAAUCAUUUAUUUCACGAAUUCGGAGUAACAUAGGUACACAAUUUAUUCAUUGUAGUAUAUUUUUAUAUUGAAAACCCUUGCGGUAAUGCUUCCAUUUUUCAAAUAUAAUAAUUAAAGUUUGUUUUCCAGUGGCUGGAAAAAAAAAUUGUAGACGAUAGUAUAGUCGACAGCGGACUAAAACCAUCACUGCAAGAGUCCAACGUACAUAUUUUGAAAAAGAAAAAUUCCGAAAUCAUCAGCGCUUUGAUGGGGCUGCGCAGAGCCAUGUCGAACAAUUAUGGCGGGCGACACAUAUUUGCACCCAAUAUUUAAUAAAAAAAAAAAAGUAUAUAAAAAAAAAUAUAUAUAAAUAUUGGUUUUUUUUUUUUUUUUAGUCAGUUUAUAUAAAUAUAGAUAUAGGAAAAAACUGUAGUGAAUUGUAAUCUACAAUAUUAAGAUGUUGUUACAGUAUAAUCAAUAAAACUACAAAAACUAAUCGC